UGCUUCGUUUCAGUUUAUUGUAGGUCACGCUUGAGUUGUUUAAAUAUCGCUUUAAUAUUACGCGUCACCAAUUUUAUUCUUCACUGUCUUGGAUUUUCUGGAGAGCAAAGGUGACGAGAAGAUGUUGAAUCAUAUAUUUUUCCGAUAAAAUUUAUUUAAAAAAUAAUGCAUUCUCGUUCAAAAUGGAUAUUUUACUAGAAAACGCAAUACAUGCAAUAUUUUGCAAGGAUAACACAAUCUUGAUAUACACCUAUACACGUUGUCAUAACAGUGGGUAACACACUUUUUGUUGUAAUCUUGUUUCUGUUAAGAUAAAAAAAAAAUAUUUUUACCAUUAUAAUUAUCACAGGUCAAAAUUUGGAACGAUUGCUUUAAAAAGAUUUAUUUGUAAAGUCAAUUGAAAGAAGUUAAUAUUUGAUAGAUGUGUAAAAUGAAAGUUAAUAUCUACAAAAAAAAACAGUUAUUUAAUAAACACUUCUUGAAUCAAUUGUAGGCUCUUGUUAAUUGUUGUUUAAAGUGUUUAAUAUAUUUAAUACUAUAACAUCUUUUUUUCAGAAGAUACAUUUUAAUGAAUAUAAUUAACAACUAUAUUUGCUGAGUUGUUUAUGAUAUACUUGAUACAAAAUAAUUAUUCGUCGAGUAAUACAAAAACAAGGAUUGUUUUUCUUUCAUGACGUAACUAUCAAAGGUCUUACUAAAUCAUACAUAAAGUUAACAAGUCACAAAGAGUGAGAAAAUUAUGGCACAAACUUGAAAUCAUAAACAUUUUAAAGGGGAGGAACUUUCUAAUCAUAACAGAUAUUUCUCUUGUUUAAUCUAACUUAUAUAUUAGAUUUUGAAAGAGCAGGAUUCUAUGUAUCAUUAUCAAAGGUCGUGUUGCAAUUCAACUGGAGCUGGCAUGUCAGUUAACUGCUAGUAGUCUGUUGUUAUUUAUGUAUUAUUGUCAUUUUGUUUAUUUUCUUUUGUUACAUCUUCUGACAUCAGACUCGGACUACUCUUGUACUGAAUUUUAAUGUGCGUAUUGUUAUGCGUUUACUUUUCUACAUUGGCUAGAGGUAUUAGGGGGGGGACUGACCCAAGUCAAGAGCCUCUGACCUUUGUUAGUCUUGUAUUAUUUUUAAUUUUAGUUUAUCGUGCAUAAUUUGGAGUUAGUAUGACGUUCAUUAUCACUGUCCUAGUAUAUAUAUUUGUUUAGGGGCCAGCUGAAGGACGCCUCCGGGUGCGGGAAUUUCUCGCUGCAUUGGACCUGUUGGUGACCUUCUUCUGUCGUCUUUUCUAUGGUCGGGUUGUUGUCUCUUCGACACAUUUCCCAUUUCCUUUCUCAGUUUUAACGUUUCAUUUUAUGUUUAUGAUAAAUUAAAUAUGAACCACUGUCCGUAAAACAGUUGAAAAUUCUUGUAGACAUAUAUCACUGUCUCUAUGUUUUGCUCACGUUUUCAGUAAAAGUUCCUGUGACUAUAGAGAGUUGUACUAGAAACACUUUUUAAAGUAACUCUGAAAUGUCAAUGUUUAUAUUGAUAACCUCAAUUUAAAGACCAAACAGCCUAUUUAUUUCUACCAGUGAUUUUUCCUUAAAAUUUUGUGUGAAGGUAUUUCAUGAUUUGAAGAACAAAAAUGAUGAAAAAAAUUGGGACACCGACUUAGUUUUGUCAAUAGCAACUCAGUUUCGUGUUUUCCCGAAUAUUAACAUAAUAUUUGCUGUUAUCUAAACUCUCAAAAAAUGCUUUAUAUCAAACCUACAAGCAUAAUUCUUGUUUCACGUUAAACAGUAGAUUUGUAUCUUUCAAAUACAGGUUCAAGAGUUUAAGACUCAUAUUUAUUUGAUCUUUAAAAAAUAUGAUAUUUCAUUCCGCCAAAAAUUAUGCGUAAAACUGAAAACGUUCCCAGUAUUAAAAAAUAUUACCAGUGAUUUCUCAUAAAAUUUAAAGAAGGAAAGUGCAUAUAUACCUCAAAAUAAAGCAGAAAAAGUGUAUGUCACCGACCUUUCAAAAAAGGAUAUGAGUAAUUUUUAUGUUCUUUCUCGUUCGUUUGAAGAAAGAGUUGUCUUUCUUCAAACAUUGCAUCUGACGUCAUAGUCGAACUUUCCUUGCUGGCGAACUAUUUGAAAAAAAGAAAUCGCAAAUUGGACGCCGUUUGAAACCCACAUUUAAAUUUCCAAGAAUAACAACUAUAUUCACCUACUUUAUUAUCCGUAAUAUAGAGAUUAAGCAUGUAUCAGUUUCAGAUCUUUAUGAUUUUGUUGCCGCACAAUAUCCUUCAAAAAACCAUCCUCCGGAAUGGAAAAUUGUUUGAAAUAACCUUUCACGCCACUUUUGUAUUGAAAGUCUGUUUUUGUCCUCUGUCCCACAUAAACAAAAUUAUUGAAAUUAAAAAGAAAUAAAGAUGGCACUGGUUACUUACAGAGUAUUUGAUAUACCAGACUAGUGUGCUUGUUUCUUUUUCGCGUCAAUUUCAGAAGUUUGCCGUAAAACUCAUUCGGUACUGUUUGAAAGACGACAUACAAAAGCAUGGACGGAGUUCUUUAUACCAUUUUUUUUCCCGACUAAGACGAACGUUUAGAAAAUUAUUGCAUCGAGUUUGAAUUCAUAUUUUUGAAUAUUUUUAAGAUAUAAGGAAUAAAAUGAUAGGUAUAAUUAUCAAUGAAAGUUUGAUUCUAAAACGUUACACAUCUAUCUUAAAUACAAUCAUUUUAUUACUACCUCAUGUGUUUUCAUAAAAGAGACAGUAAAUAUAAAAUACAAAAAGUUUUUGAUUCAAAAAAUUAAUAUUUAGAAAAUAUUUUCGUUGAACUACAAAGUAAGAUUUCAACAGGAUAAAAAUAUAUAAAUCAAUUGCUCAUUUUGGAAAUUAAAACAAAGAAAAGGUUGUUGCAUUAAAAAUCGAAAUUUUGUUUCAAUCUUUCCGGUCACAGUUGUAGCUAAAUAAAGGGAGCGAUUUUAUGUAAGAUAUUAUUCUUGACAAUGUCAUAUUAAGUUAAAUUUACAACAAUUUAAUUUUAAACACCAAAAAUUUUGUUUUAUUCAAUUCGCUGAGUAUUAUUUUAUUAAUAUUUUUUGCCUUACAGCUAAUUUCCUAAUGCAUGUAGGGUAAAACUGGGUGGGCUUCCUUGCUUUGUUGUAAAUGUUUACUUAACUCUGUAAUUAAGAUUGACAUCUUUAUAUAUAGGUAUGUAAACCUUAUAUAUUGCUUUUAAUUGAAUUGGACGUUAUCAAAAUAUACUUAUACAAAAUAUACAAACAAAGAAGCAGGCAAACAAAGUGUUGAUCUACAUACAUAAGAAAAUUAGGUGUAAGUUUCAGUGAGAUUAGACGAUAUGUUUAUCAUUUCUCCUUAGGACAAUUUGAAUGAAACAAAUGACAAACAAAAAUGACCCUUUGUCAUCAUUUUAUUUUUACGAUAAGAUUUUGUCACAUAAGAGUAUACUUCAUUGUUCCUUGUUUUAUCUACGUAUUGGAACAAUGUCAAUUGAUGAAAUUCAUGUUGAACACGUAAGUGUAAAAAACUUUAUGUUGAAAAUAUGCUCAUAUUUGUACAAAUAAAUCAAUGAUAAUUUUAAUAAACCAUGUUGUACUGUGUCAAUUUCGAAUGUUAUUUAGACUGCAUUUGAAAUCAAUAUGUCAUAAAUGUAGUAGCAAGUUCAAGAGAGUUAACUUAAAUUAGAUAAUGGUUUACAAUAAUUGAAAAUGUCGAAAAAUCGAACUCUUUCAGAUAACACUACUCAGACAUCACCAGUGUAUGAGUAGAAAGCUGAUGAACAAGUGGAAUGUCAAAGAACGUCUCGCCCAUUUUCUAAAAUAAGUUCAAGGGAAGAACAUAGACCUUGUUGACAAAUAUUCCGUAUCAACUUCACAAAUCAAGGAAUCGAAGAAUUCAAAUAGAGCAAAAGAUUCAACGAGUGACCGAACAACACAUUAUUUCACGAAUUAUCAGUGUUGUUCGGUCACGAGUUGAAUAUUUUUCGAUAUUUGAAUUCUUUAAUAAGUUAUUCUUUUUAUUACAUUGGCAAAUGACUUUUUGAAAUUAAUGUAAAACACGUAAGGAACUUUAACUUUUUUCUACGCAUUCACAAUAUGUUUUGAUCUGCCGUUAUCGACGUCUUGACAACGCCUAUUGUGUAUGAAGUCAGAGAGUGAAAUAACCACGUUUAUUUCACAUGUGAAAUUAUCGGUUUUAUUUAACUGGGAAAUCAAUGUAAUUCAUUGCAACCAAUGUAAUAAUACACGAUAGUCUUGAAGUAUAGAUUAUUUACCAGUAGCCAGUACUUCGGUACUGGCAUGAAAAUACGGAUGUUUCUGUGUUAUUAAAAUUUGCUGUUACAAAAUGUUAGAAAUUAUUAUAAAUCAAGGAAUGUAUCUCCCUCAUGCAAAGCUCUGAUUCUUUUCACGGAUUUGGCUAUACUUUAUGGACCUUUUGGAUUAUAGCUCUUCAUUUUUUAUACAAGCUUUGGAUUUCAAAUAUUUUGGCCACUAGCAUCACUGAAGAGACAUAUAUUGUCGAAAUGCGCAUCUGGUACAGGAAAAUUGGUACCGUUAAUGUUAUUAUUGAUAUUGAGGUAGUUUAUCUUAUUAAUAACGAGAUAUAAUAUUUCUUUAUUUGUCUUAAUAAGUAUUAUUUUUACUGUAUAGUAUGUUUUUUUGUGAUAUCCAUUUGACGUAGCUCUGAACUUAUAAAUCCCGGCAUUGUGCUAUGGUAUUUGUUUAGUAUUUUAAUGUUAAUGUGCAUUGUCUAUGUGACUUUUGGUAAUUCCUUGAAGCAUUUGACGUGGCUCUGUACCUAUGCAUCCAGUCAUUGUGUUAUUGUGCUAUGGUAAAUUCGUGUAUUGUUGUCUUUUUAAAUUUUUACUUAUGUGCUUUGUCUAUACACGAAACGUAACAAAUAUGUUGUCAAUCAAGAAAUCAAGCAUCUUGAUAAUGACAGUUUCAGAAUUAACAAAAAGGUCUGUGGUUUUAUCCGGGCACUCCGGCUUCCUCCGCCAAUACAAACUGGCCGCCACGAAAUAGCCUAAAUGCGGUGCCUAAAAGUGGCGUUAAAACACCAAAAAUCAAUCAUUCAAUCACAAAUACAUAACGUGCUUCUGGUAGACCUUUAAACUCGGUCAACAGUUACGAUUGUUCGAAUUCAAGAUCCCUACACUUAACAUCCACACAAUCCUAUCGAACAUACGUUUUCCUUUUUAAUUAAAAGGUCCUUUACAAAAUCUGAAGUCAAAUUUAUUUGCUACUACUCAUAUAAGCUCUCUUCAAUAGCGGAAAUGUGGAAAAAGGCAAGAUAUGAUUACUGCAAAUGUUUUAGAAUUAUAAAAGCCAUGUAUUUCUAGCUGACAACACCAAGGUAAAUUUAUCAGUUGUAUGUUUUCCUAUGAGCACCAUUUGUGUCCUUUUAACAGUCCAUGUGUUGUUAUGAAUCACAGUGUACGACCUAACUCAAUACAGGUCCGUCAACAUUUUAUUAAGGUCACAAAUUGACCAACACUUACCUUGAUGAUAUGUUUUUCUUUAUAUAUUCAAGAGGACUCACUAUGAAUAAAUGUAAUAUAAACAAUAAUUACAGUUCUGUUCUUGAUUAUAAUCCUUCAGUUUUAUACGGAAUACCUAAUACUAAAAUUCUCGACAAAAGGGACGAUAAAUUGUCGUUCCCUAUUUUCCUUCUUUUUUGACAGUAAUGUUCCUAUCCUACAUUCAUAGAUUGUAUUUCCUUCACGAUUCGUUUGCUAUUGCCGUGUUGGUAGUGACGUAGGGGCGUUUUACAUUUCAAUGACAGUAAUAAAUGAAAUAACUGGUAAACUAUUAAGCCAGGGUUUUCGUAACCACAAAUAUUCAAAAAAAUCAAUUUAUUUGUUUUAGAGUUUGUUAUGUCGGGGCUAUUUGUAAUUUACUAUACUAAAUAGUAUUCAUCAUUGUUGAAUGUUUUACAUUUCAAUAUUUACUUCCACUUACUUAGUUUUCUGUUAGAUAGUUGUCUCAUUGACAAUCAUAUCACAUAUCCAUACUUUUAUAAAAACGAUCCCAUUUAUUUGUAUUGUAGUCCUGUCAUGUAAUGUUGUCAUUUUUAAUGUUAUAAUUAACAUUGCCAUUAAAGCAGGAGGUUUUGCAUCUCACAAAACCAGAUUCAACCCACCAUUUUUUAUCUUAAACUGCCCUGUACCAAGUCAGGGAAAUGGUCAUUGUUAUAUAAUAGUUCGUUUCUGUGUGUGUUACAUUUUAAUGUUGUGUUUCUGUUGUGUCGUAGUUCUCUUAUAUUAGAUGCAUUUCCGUCAGUUUUAGUUUGUAACUCGGAUUUGUUUUUUCUCUAUCGAUUAUUGACUUUCGAACAGCGGUAUACUACUGUUGUCUUUAUUUACUGCAUUAAAACAACAUUUUCUUUUUCAUUCCGUUAUUGCAGAUCACAUAAAUCAAAUUAUUUGACUAUAUUUUCUAUAGGUAAUACAACGGUAGUCACAUGUGGAGUAAAAAUUGCUGACCCCUAAACAGCACCUGAGAUCCACCACCACCCAACCCUCAAACUUUUGUAGGAUUCGUGUUCUUUAGUGUUGGUAUGUAUUGUUUGUAGAAUGUCGGCAUUUUGUUGGUAUUUUGUUAUUGCUUUGUAAGUUUAUCUUCGACUUAAGAGUUUUGAAAUGUCCAUUUGGUAAUCUGCUUUCUGUCGAGUUUUCAAAACGCAAGAUUGUUGUAUCUAUAUCGGCCUUUGUUUUCUUUACUGCUUUAACAGCUUUUGUAAAACGUAGUUAAGUUCGGUGUUAUUAUUUUUUGUUGCUCUAGGACUUACUAGUAUAUUGUGUUUUUCGUAAAGAUAUUUGAAUUGUUUGGUUUGCUUCUAUUGUAUAUAUAAAAAGAAGAUGUGGUAUGAUUGCCAAUGAGACUAUAGUCCACAAGAGACCAAAAUGACACAGACAUUAACAACUAUAGGUCACUGUACGGCCUUCGACAAUGAGCAAAGCCCAUACUGCAUAGUCAGCUUUAAAAUGCCCCGAUAUGACAAUGUAAAAC
rnacentral:lncRNA from 1 species